rnacentral:rRNA from 1 species
GACGAACGCUGGCGGCGUGCUUAACACAUGCAAGUCGAGCGGUAAGGCCCUUUCGGGGGUACGACGAGCGGCGAACGGGUGAGUAACACGUGGGUGACCUGCCCUCAGCUCUGGGAUAAGCCCGGGAAACUGGGUCUAAUACCGGAUAUGACUUCAUGACGCAUGUUGUGGAGUGGAAAGCCUUGUGCGGCUGAGGAUGGGCCCGCGGCCUAUCAGCUUGUUGGUGGGGGGAU